rnacentral:rRNA from 1 species
AUUGAACGCUGGCGGCAGGCCUAACACAUGCAAGUCGAGCGGAUGAAGGGAGCUUGCUCCUGGAUUCAGCGGCGGACGGGUGAGUAAUGCCUAGGAAUCUGCCUGGUAGUGGGGGAUAACGUCCGGAAACGGGCGCUAAUACCGCAUACGUCCUGAGGGAGAAAGUGGGGGAUCUUCGGACCUCACGCUAUCAGAAGAGCCUAGGUCGGAUUAGCUAGUUGGUGGGGUAAAGGCCUACCAAGGCGACGAUCCGUAACUGGUCUGAGAGGAUGAUCAGUCACACUGGAACUGAGACACGGUCCAGACUACUACGGGAGGCAGCAGUGGGGAAUAUUGGACAAUGGGCGAAAGCCUGAUCCAGCCAUGCCGCGUGUGUGAAGAAGGUCUUCGGAUUGUAAAGCACUUUAAGUUGGGAGGAAGGGCAGUAAGUUAAUACCUUGCUGUUUUGACGUUACCAACAGAAUAAGCACCGGCUAACUUCGUG